UCUUUGACUCUCUGUCACGUCAUGUCCAACCCACAAUGGCAGUUACCAUGACAAAGACAACUCUUAAAAGGACGACGUUUAAUUGGGGCUCGAUUACAAUUCAGAAGUUCAAGGUGCAUGGCAGAGCCUAGGCUGGCAUGGGGCCAGAGGAGCUGGGAGUUCUACAUCUUGUUACAAAGACUGCCAGGAGAAGACUGGCGUCUAGGCAGCUAGGACAAGGAUCUUAAAGCACUGUCAUUCAUGGAACAGAAAAGCUUCAUGUCAUCCUCAUAUAAUACAGAGCUUCACCAUGGGAAGGCAGCAAGAAAUUAACAGCGGCCGUGAAAUAUAUUUAUUGUCAACUGAGACUCAAAAAGAAUAGAUUUGAGGUUGUAAACAGGCUUUAAAAUUUACUCUUCACGAAGCUAAAAUAUUGUAAACACAAUAUGGCUACAUAAUUUAAAAUCAUAUCACACAGAUAUGUGCCCCCAAGGGCCCUGAUUCAGUUCGUGGCUCUUCUGGGACUCUCAGCUAUGCCUGGAUGUUCAAGAGUCAGAACCUCCCCCCACCCUCCACCCCAGAACUGGGACACGUCACAGACCAGGAACUCCCUAACCAGCUCUAGCCUCGGCCUCAUCAAAGACUGCAUUUCCCAUCCCUGAGCAGACUCUUGGCUUCCCCUGAAGCCCAGCACCAGCCAGGCUGCAGAAAAGAAAAAAUAGUCUAGAUAUUUAUUCCCCGGUACGGAGCCCAAACAGGCUGUGCCCAACGGAAGUGAAUAAAUGGACUGACAGAUUCACUGUCCAAUCAGAGUCUCCAUACGCGCCUGCCAGUCAGAAAAGGAGGAGGGUUCUUCCGGAAAUCACAUUGCAGGUUCUGCGAGAGUUUACGUGAUUUUGUGUGUUGUUUUUUCACCUCAACUGCCGAGUACUGAGGGAAGCUCAGGAAGCUCUGAAGAUACAGCAUGGCCAGCACAUCCUCACUCUCCACAAAGUGAAAGGAAAAGUGCAUUCCUGUGGAACAUGUAUUCUGCCUUCAGACUAGAACAGGAGGAAUGGUUUACUGUGUACACAGUAGGGUGAAACAGUGUAGACCAGAGCUAGCUCACAGACUAAAGUUUAAGGAGUCAUCUGCAGGAGUCACCAUUGGGAAGGAGGACCUGAUGGGGCAAAAAUGCAGUGACAUAUGAGGAUGUGCAUGUGAACUUUACUCGGGAAGAAUGGGCUUUGCUGGAUCCUUCCCAGAAGAGUCUCUACAAGGAUGUGAUGCUGGAGACCUACAGGACCCUCAGAGCUAUAGG
rnacentral:lncRNA from 1 species